AUUGGACGCUGGCGGCAGGCCUAACACAUGCAAGUCGAGCGGAUGAAGGGAGCUUGCUCCUGGAUUCAGUGGCGGACGGGUGAGUAAUGCCUAGGAAUCUGCCUGGUAGUGGGGGAUAACGUCCGGAAACGGGCGCUAAUACCGCAUACGUCCUGAGGGAGAAAGUGGGGGAUCUUCGGACCUCACGCUAUCAGAUGAGCCUAGGUCGGAUUAGCUAGUUGGUGGGGUAAAGGCCUACCAAGGCGACGAUCCGUAACUGGUCUGAGAGGAUGAUCAGUCACACUGGAACUGAGACACGGUCCAGACUCCUACGGGAGGCAGCAGUGGGGAAUAUUGGACAAUGGGCGAAAGCCUGAUCCAGCCAUGCCGCGUGUGUGAAGAAGGUCUUCGGAUUGUAAAGCACUUUAAGUUGGGAGGAAGGGCAGUAAGUUAAUACCUUGCUGUUUUGACGUUACCAACAGAAUAAGCACCGGCUAACUUCGUG
rnacentral:rRNA from 1 species